CCUGGCGGCAAUAGCAAGCGUGAACCACCCGAUCCCAUUUCGAACUCGGAAGUGAAACCGCUUAGCGCCGAUGAUAGUGUGGGAGUUCCCAUGUGAAAGUAGGUCACUGCCAGGC
rnacentral:rRNA from 1 species